rnacentral:rRNA from 1 species
ACAUAGUGCCCGUACCGCAACCCGACACAGAUAGGUGAUGAGAGAAACCUAAGGCCGGCGGAAGAAUUGCAGAUAAGGAACUGGGCAAACUCACCUCGUAACUUCGGGAGAAGGGGUGCCUGCGCGAGCAGGCCGCAGAGAAUAGGCACAAGCAACUGUUUAACAAAAACACAGGUCUCUGCUAAAGCGAAAGCUGAUGUAUAGGGGCUGACGCCUGCACGGUGCUGGAAGGUUAAGGGGAACACUUAGCGUAAGCGAAGGGGUGAACUUAAGCCCCAGUAAACGGCGGCCGUAACCAUAACGGUCCUAAGGUAGCGAAAUUCCUUGUCAGGUAAGGUCUGACCCGCCCGAAUGGCGUGAUGCCUUGUGGACUGUCCCCACUG